GACGAACGCUGGCGGCGUGCCUAAUACAUGCAAGUUGAACGCUUGAUUUUCACCGAAGCUUGCUUCACCGAAAAUCAAGAGUAGCGAACGGGUGAGUAACGCGUGGGUAACCUACCUAUCAGCGGGGGAUAACUAUUGGAAACGAUAGCUAAUACCGCAUAACAAUGUUGGAUGCAUAUUCGACAUUUGAAAGUACCAACUGGUACACUGAGAGAUGGACCCGCGUUGUAUUAGCUAGUUGGUAGUGUAAUGGACUACCAAGGCGAUGAUACAUAGCCGACCUGAGAGGGUGAUCGGCCACAUUGGGACUGAGACACGGCCCAAACUCCUACGGGAGGCAGCAGUAGGGAAUCUUCGGCAAAUGGGACGAAAGUCUGACCGAGCAACGCCGCGUGAGUGAAGAAGGUUUCGGAUCGUAAAACUCUGUUGUUAGAGAAGAACGUUGCAUAGAGUGGAAAUUAUGCAAGUGACGGUAUCUAACCAGAAAGGGACGG
rnacentral:rRNA from 1 species